UGGAUUGAAGGGGUGAAGGCAGAAGACAGCAAGACCAGUAAGAGGUGGUUUAAAUAAGAGACAUAAAGUAGUGGUGUGGGAACUAUUUCACGAAGAAGAUGAAGGAAGGACGGUUGGCAGGCAGAAGGCAGGACAGAUCAUACUACUAGUUAUUGAGUAACUGCUAGUUAUUGAAACUGUACUGCCUGCCAGGCUGUAUGCUACGCACUUUCUCAUUUUACACCCCUCUCCCAAAAUGUCAAGGAGACGUUAAGUAGAUGAAAGACCAAGAAAAGCGAGGGAGAAAAUUCAAUAUAUUUGAGAACAAAGGCAGCCAUUAACCUGUCCAUCUUCAGAACCUGAAUCGGUAGCCAAAUCUCAGCAGACAGAGCUACAUAAUGCCAGAUAAAUCUUCUUGCUGAAUGAGAGACCCAUCCUACCAGCAUAAACAACAUUUGAACACUCUAGCCCCCAGCCUUACCAGCCAGCUCUCCAUUCUCUACACACAGAGUCUUUGUUGGGACACUCUAGGCCAGUUAUUUCACCAUCCUGAGUCUGGUCCCUCUCUGAGGCCCAGGGACAAAUAUUCAGUUCAGGUUUGAAUUAAGGAAAGAUACUACUACCUUGAUGGGGGAUCAGGACCACAGGACCAAAUUGAACCAGGCAAGACUGAAGGGGCCAAGGGAUAGAGGAUCCCCCUCCCAAAGGAGCCAACUGGAAGGCAACAAUUGGGUGGCCUGUUAAAGAGGAAAGAAGCUUAGGACAGGGAGAAUGCCACUUUCUAGUAUUACAAAAAUAUCCUUUAGGCAAGGUGAGGCCUUUUUUUUACUCUGACACUAUUUUUUUUUAAACCAACCCUGAAAGAAAAAUGAUAGGGUCAAGGUUGGUCCAGGGAACAGUAGGUAGGGAAGCAGAUGAGAGGUUCAGAGCUCUGGAGUGUGAGCAAGAUAUUCUUCUUCUAGGCACCUGAGUUAUCUUCUUUCUAAAUCAGGGCGAAAUGUCCCUUUUCAUGUUUCCUGAGUAGUCAGGGAAGCAACCAACCAAAGUCAUUGGGAAUUAGAACUAAGAAUCAGACGGACCUGGUUUGCAUGCCAAUGGUGUCACUGGCUAGCCGUGCAACCCAUGGCAAGCCACUGCAAGUCUCAGAGCUUUGGUUUGCUUGUGUGUGAAAAUGACAAAUAUAGUGCAGGCCUAACAGAAGCAUGGUGAACAUCUGAUGAUGGAAUAUGUGCAAAGCGCUUAACGUAGUUCCUGGCACAAUAUUAAGUACUUCAUAAAUGUUUGCUGUUAUGAUUAUCAAUCAAAACACAGCAGUAAUAAAUUAAGGCAUGUUAUUAGACCUUAGCUUUCCUACCAAUAAAGAACUAGACAAUCUCAAGUGUUCCUUCCAGCUCUGCUGUUUAUCUGAAAAUUCACGACAGACACUCAGUGAUACAGAAAUGUGUGCUCCAGACCAUGUGAACUGGAGAAGAGAAUUUGGUUCUCUUCAGCUUCAAUUCACAUUUGGGUUCAUGUGUUUUGCUGCCUUCCUUCUUUUCUCUACGUAUUGACACCUAGGAAAACUCAAGAUGCCAGAGAUCCCUGACACCGGGCUCAUAUGGUAGGCUGCGUGAUGAUGGAGCCGAGAGCUUAACCGCCCAAGGACAGAGGGCCUCAGCAGGAACUUUGGGAAUCAGCAUAUUGAUACCUAAGUGGAGACCUCUUUCCAGACCCAGAAACUGGAGCACGCAAGGCCUUGGGGAAAUGACCAGCAAGUUCACAGCCCAAGGUUUCUCUGACUGGUUGGAGAGUCUAAUGUAUUCCGUCAUGCCGUCUAAUUCAGAGUCUCCUUGCUUUGACUGUCUGUCUCCUGCUUC
rnacentral:lncRNA from 1 species